rnacentral:rRNA from 1 species
CCUACGGGUGGCUGCAGUGGGGAAUAUUGGACAAUGGGGGGAACCCUGAUCCAGCCAUGCCGCGUGUGUGAAGAAGGCCCUCGGGUUGUAAAGCACUUUCAGUGAGGAAGAACGCCUGGUGGUUAAUACCCAUCAGGAAAGACAUCACUCACAGAAGAAGCACCGGCUAACUCCGUGCCAGCAGCCGCGGUAAUACGGAGGGUGCGAGCGUUAAUCGGAAUUACUGGGCGUAAAGCGCGCGUAGGUGGCUUGAUAAGCCGGUUGUGAAAGCCCCGGGCUCAACCUGGGAACGGCAUCCGGAACUGUCCAGCUAGAGUGCAGGAGAGGAAGGUAGAAUUCCCGGUGGAGCGGUGAAAUGCGUAGAGAUCGGGAGGAAUACCAGUGGCGAAGGCGGCCUUCUGGACUGACACUGACACUGAGGUGCGAAAGCGUGGGUAGCAAACAGGAUUAGAUACCCUAGUAGUC